rnacentral:lncRNA from 1 species
GUUUCGAGACUGGACCGUAGAGAAUCAGCUUACAACUGCUGCAGUUCAUCUGUGGAAGACUCAGUCUUCAGGGUAGCUACUCAUUUGGAUAUUUUGAUUCUGUCUAUCCUUAUCAUGGCAUGUACAGGGCACACAGUUGGGCCCAUUUCAUUUUGAAAAUUAGUAUCAUGUCUUGUAAAAAUAUUAAGUACAUAUCUAUAUUUUCCUCAUGUAAAAAGCAACAGCUUGACAUCAUAAUCAGCAUACAACAUGAUAUUAGCCUAAAAGGACAUAGGUUCAACCAGAUUGUAGCGUCUCAGCUCGGUUCAUUUGAGUUAACGGGUGGACCGGGAAGGGAUGUUACAUUGAUAGUAGUAAUUUAUUCUAGUUUUCACCUAAAUUCUAAUAAGAUAUUAUAGUUGUUAACAUUUAUAAAAUACCUAGUGUUUUGUUCA